rnacentral:rRNA from 1 species
AUUGAACGCUGGCGGCAGGCCUAACACAUGCAAGUCGAGCGGUAGAGAGAAGCUUGCUUCUCUUGAGAGCGGCGGACGGGUGAGUAAUGCCUAGGAAUCUGCCUGGUAGUGGGGGAUAACGUUCGGAAACGGACGCUAAUACCGCAUACGUCCUACGGGAGAAAGCAGGGGACCUUUGGGCCUUGCGCUAUCAGAUGAGCCUAGGUCGGAUUAGCUAGUUGGUGGGGUAAUGGCUCACCAAGGCGACGAUCCGUAACUGGUCUGAGAGGAUGAUCAGUCACACUGGAACUGAGACACGGUCCAGACUCCUACGGGAGGCAGCAGUGGGGAAUAUUGGACAAUGGGCGAAAGCCUGAUCCAGCCAUGCCGCGUGUGUGAAGAAGGUCUUCGGAUUGUAAAGCACUUUAAGUUGGGAGGAAGGGCAGUUGCCUAAUACGUAACUGUUUUGACGUUACCGACAGAAUAAGCACCGGCUAACUCUG